GAUUUCUGGCGAACCGUUGCGGCCCGUGCUCAUUUUGGGCGUGUGUGCCGUGUCGUGUUUGUCAUCCCUUCCAGAAAGCUGCGUCUACCAUUCACUUGGCCGGACGUUCUGGAUCGAUUACUUUGAAAAUUAAAGCAGGCUUAUGCUGUGAAAAUACAUUAGCUGGAAUAACAAUUUAGGACUUCGGUUCUAUUUUGUUGGUUUCUAGGACUGAGAGGACAGUUGGGGGUGCUAGUAUUCCGCGGCCAGAGGUGAAAUUCUUGGAUUCGCGAAAGACUAACUACUGCGAAAGCAUU
rnacentral:rRNA from 1 species